rnacentral:lncRNA from 1 species
UAUAUUCUUCUGCUAAAUUUUCAGCUUUUUCUAUGACCAUGUCUACUUCAUAUCCUUCUUGUAGAACUUCUAUAUUCAUAAACUCGCUCUCUGUUUCUAUAUUACUCUCUAUUUCAUCAUCGUCUAAAUUUCUUUUAGUUGCGUAACUAUAAUCUAUAAAUCUAACUGAAGUUUCUCCUUUACUUGUAGUAUAUAAUAGAUAAGAGUCUGGUGUAAGAAUUUUUGGUUUAGUAAAUUUAUUUAAAUUUCAUUCUAAACCUGCAUAUAUUUCUGG